GACGAACGCUGGCGGCGUGCUUAACACAUGCAAGUCGAACGGUAAGGCCCUUCGGGGUACACGAGUGGCGAACGGGCGAGUAACACGUGGGUGAGCUGCCCUGCACUUCGGGAUAAGCCUGGGAAACGGGGUCUAAUACCGGAUAGGACCACAUCCCGCAUGGGUGGUGGUGGAAAGCUUUUGCGGUGUGGGAUGGGCCCGCGGCCUAUGAGGUUGUUGGUGGGGUGAUGGCCUACCAAGGCGACGGCGGGUAGCCGGCCUGAGAGGGUUACCGGCCACACUGGGACUGAGGUACGGACCAGACUGCUACGGGAGACAGCAGUGGGAAAUAUUGCACAAUGGGCGCAAGCCUGAUGCAGCGACGCCGCGGGAGGGAUGACGGCCUUCGGGUUGUAAACCUCUUUCAGCACCGACGAAGCGCAAGUGACGGUAGGUGCAGAAGAAGGACCGGCCAACUACGUGCCAGCCGCCGCCGUAA
rnacentral:rRNA from 1 species